AAACUAUAUGCGUGCAUCUUCCUUUCGAAUCAGAAUCAGCAACAGAUAUUUUUGUUGUUGUUGGCUUUCAUUUGGCUACUCAUUGCAUAGCUUAGAUCUAAUUUAAUUGUCAAAAAUUUCAAAACCAAGCACUUUGUUCCUAUAGUUCUAUUUAAAAAUUGUCUGUGUGAUGAAUGAGCUUUAAUUUGUCAGGUGCUACGAUUGUGCUCCCAACAAUAGUAUGUUGU
rnacentral:misc_RNA from 1 species